rnacentral:rRNA from 1 species
CCUACGGGAGGCAGCAGUGGGGAAUAUUGCACAAUGGAGGAAACCCUGAUGCAGCGACGCCGCGUGCGUGAAGAAGUCUCUCGGUACUUCAAGCUCUAUCAGCGCGGAAGAAAAUUAAGGUACCUGACUACUAAGCCCCGGCUAACUACGUGCCAGCAGCCGCGGUACUACGGAGGGGGCAAGCGUUAUCCGGAUUUACUGGGUGUAAAGGGGGCGUAGACGGCAGCACAAGUCUGGAGUGAAAUCCCGGGGCUGAACCCCGGAACUGCUUCGGAAACUGGGCGGCUGGAGUGCAGGAGGGGUAAGCGGAAUUCGUAGUGUAGCGGUGAAAUGCGUAGAUAUUAGGAGGAACACCGGUGGCGAAGGCGGCUUACUGUACUGUAACUGACGUUGAGGCUCGAAAGUGUGGGGAGCAAACAGGAUUAGAUACCCUAGUAGUC